rnacentral:rRNA from 1 species
UACGGAGGGUGCAAGCGUUGUCCGGAUUUAUUGGGUUUAAAGGGUGCGUAGGCGGCUUUUUAAGUUCAGUGGUGAAAGACAACAGCUCAACUGUUGCAGUGCCAUUGAUACUGAAGAGCUUUGAGUACAGAUGAGGUAGGCGGAAUUUAUGGUGUAGCGGUGAAAAUGCAUAGAUACCAUAAAGAACACCUAUUGCGAAGGCAGCUUACUAGCUGGUAACUGACGCUGAGGCACGAAAAG